GUGGGGAAUAUUGGACAAUGGGCGAAAGCCUGAUCCAGCCAUGCCGCGUGUGUGAAGAAGGUCUUCGGAUUGUAAAGCACUUUAAGUUGGGAGGAAGGGCAGUAAGUUAAUACCUUGCUGUUUUGACGUUACCGACAGAAUAAGCACCGGCUAACUUCGUGCCAGCAGCCGCGGUAAUACGAAGGGUGCAAGCGUUAAUCGGAAUUAAUGGGCGUACAGCGCGCGUAGGUGGUGUUGUAAGUUGGAGGUGAAAUCCCCGGGCUCAACCUGGGACCUGCCUCCAAAACUGCAUGACUAGGGUACGGUAGAGGGUAUGGGAAUAUCCUGUGUAGCGGUGAAAGGCGUAGAUAUAGGAAGGAACACCAGUGGCGAAGGCGACUACCUGGACUGAUACAGACACUGAGGUGCGAAAGCGUGGGGAGCAAACAGGAUUAGAUACCCGGGUAGUCC
rnacentral:rRNA from 1 species